GUCAUCGCCAUCCGUCCUGGCUCAUGGUAAGGUGACCGUCUUGUUGGGGUCUUAUCUCUCUCAACAGCAGCUUAAAACGAACACACAAAAACCUUGAGGUCUUUAGGCGUUGCCUGUAAACCAUCUUAGUAAAAUGUUUGCUGUUCUGGAUCUGUGCCAUCUAAAGCAGGCUAACCUUCUUUCCGACGGAUUUCUAGAAGGGAUCGAGUCUUCCUGUCUCCUUCGGAGUGCUAUAGCAGUUCUCACUUCGGACUAAAAGGUGCAAGGAUUUUGCAACUCUGGGAGACCCCAAAAUACCUGCGGGCAGACUCUAGCUUUGUUCAACAGCUCUUGAGAGAAGAUUUUUACCUUGUCAGCUGCUGUUGCAAUGACUGCCUCUUUGCCUCUGAAUUUCUAAGACAUGGUUAAUGCCUUCUAAUUUCUAGAUUUUUAAAGACUUCUUUUUCUUUAGCUCAAUGUUUAUCCUUUUCUAUUUCCAAAAAAAGGCAAAGCAAAUGCUCUUUCUUAAGUCUUCAACCCAGCACAUACUUGGAUUUUCUUUAAGGGCAGUUAAGAUAGAGGCUUAUUGAUAUCGUCAGUGUUUUAUCUAUCAGUUCUUAGAAUAUAGAACCAGACCUGACAAGUAAUUCCAGAAAAAAACCUCUAAUAGUGAAUAUUUGACUUGUAAUUUUCACUGAAGAGAAAAUUUAUGGUCAUUAAAAAAAUAAAAUUCUGAGUAUUUUUUAAUUACUCUCAAACUUGACGGUGAUUAAUGAUGAUCAUUUGUAUACUUUUAAUAUAUCGACUCAUUCUAGUUACAUACAUUAUUUCAUUAAAUACAUAAUUACCAUUUCUUUCGCAGGAAUCGUAAGGACACAGAACUACUCAGUAGUUUUCCUCUGUACAAAGCAGAUGAGCCAGGAUUUGAAACCAGUUCCAGAACCAAAACCCUUCUCUUGGCUACCUUGUAGUUUGCAUUAUGAUGGCCUUGGGAGUGAAGAUUGCUUACCGGGCACUUAGCGGAGGGUCAGUCAGGAUUCUCGAUGCCCUGGGAGUGUCCACUGAGAGCACGUCCAAUCGGACAGGCGAGCUUCUUCAUGUCUGACUGGAAGGCUUGGUUUCUGUGUUCCACCAACAGACCGUGAGUACUUAUAAAGUGCAAUGCGUCUUAUCUCCUGUUAUUCCCGCACUUCCUGGGUACCAAGGGAACAGUUUACUCAGAGUUUCUGUGAGGUAUUUUACAUUCAACCUAAAUCACCUCUGGGAAUUAAAAUCCCUGAGUCAUUCUGGUAACUAAUAGUGACUCGGUUAUGAUGCUUUGGGUUUGUUCUCAGGAUGACUCCAAGUCCAGAACCUUUGGUGUGACAGCCUUUCUGCUCCAGGAGGGACAUCUUCAGUGCGUGGCCUUG
rnacentral:lncRNA from 1 species